rnacentral:rRNA from 1 species
CAGUCGCCGCGGUAAUACGAAGGGGGCUAGCGUUGCUCGGAAUGACUGGGCGUAAAGGGCGCGUAGGCGGCGAUCAAAGUCAGGCGUGAAAUUCCUGGGCUCAACCUGGGGGCUGCGCUUGAUACUUGGUUGCUUGAGUGGGGAAGAGGGUCGUGGAAUUCCCAGUGUAGAGGUGAAAUUCGUAGAUAUUGGGAAGUACACCGGUGGCGAAGGCGGCGACCUGGUCCUUGACUGACGCUGAGGCGCGAAAGCGUGGGGAGCAAACAGGAUUAGAGACCCCAGUAGUCCCUGUCUCUUAUAC